GCGCCCGUAGCUCAGCUGGAUAGAGCGUCGGUCUCCGAAGCCGAAGGUCGAGCGUUCGAAUCGCUCCGGGCGCG
rnacentral:tRNA from 1 species